rnacentral:rRNA from 1 species
GACGAACGCUGGCGGCGUGCUUAACACAUGCAAGUCGAACGGAAAGGCCCUGCUUUUGUGGGUUGCCCGAUUGGGAAAGGGGUAAGUAACACGGGAGAAACCGGCCUUGGUCUUGGGGUUAACUUCAGAAAAUGGGGGUUAAUACCGGAUAGUAAUUCCGCCGGCUGGGUGGGGGUUGGAAGGUUCGGGGGGUGGGGAUGGGAUUCGCGGUUUAUCGGCUGGUUGGGGGGCGGGGGGUUUACCAAGGCUUUGCCGGGUAGCCGGCCUGCGAGGGUGACCAGCCACAUUGGGACUGAGAUACGGCCCAGACUCCUACGGGAGGCAGCAGUGGGGAAUAUUGCACAAUGGGCGGAAGCCUGAUGCAGCAACGCCGCGUGCGGGAUGACGGCCUUCGGGUUGUAAACCGCUUUCGCCUGUGACGAAGCGUGAGUGACGGUAAUGGGUAAAGAAGCACCGGCUAACUACGUG